UCCCAGACUCCUACGGGAGGCAGCAGUGGGGAAUAUUGCACAAUGGGGGAAACCCUGAUGCAGCGACGCCGCGUGAGCGAUGAAGUAUUUCGGUAUGUAAAGCUCUAUCAGCAGGGAAGAAAAUGACGGUACCUGACUAAGAAGCCCCGGCUAACUACGUGCCAGCAGCCGCGGUAAUACGUAGGGGGCAAGCGUUAUCCGGAUUUACUGGGUGUAAAGGGAGCGUAGACGGCUGAGCAAGUCAGAAGUGAAAGCCCGGGGCUCAACCCCGGGACUGCUUUUGAAACUGCGGAGCUGGAGUGCAGGAGAGGUAAGCGGAAUUCCUGGUGUAGCGGUGAAAUGCGUAGAUAUCAGGAGGAACACCAGUGGCGAAGGCGGCUUACUGGACUGUAACUGACGUUGAGGCUCGAAAGCGUGGGGAGCAAACAGGAUUAGAUACCCCUGUA
rnacentral:rRNA from 1 species